AUUCCAGCUCCAAUAGCGUAUAUUAAAGUUGUUGCAGUUAAAAAGCUCGUAGUUGGAUUUGUGGUGCUGCCUGCAGUCCAAUUAGCUUUGGUGCUAGCGGGUGGUACCAUCUUUGGGUGGAACCUGUGGGGCAUUAGCUUGUUUCGCAGGGGAAAUCCAUCGUUUACUGUGAAAAAAUUAGAGUGUUCAAAGCAGGCUUACGCCGAUGAAUAUACUAGCAUGGAAUAAUGAAAUAGGACUUUGGUACUAUUUUGUUGGUUUGCGCGCCAAAGUAAUGAUUAAUAGGGACAGUUGGGGGUAUUCGUAUUCCAUAGUCAGAGGUGAAAUUCUUGGAUUUUUGGAAGACGAACUACUGCGAAAGCAUUUACCAAGGAUGUU
rnacentral:rRNA from 2 species